rnacentral:rRNA from 1 species
GACACGGUCCAGACACCUACGGGUGGCAGCAGUCGAGAAUUUUUCUCAAUGGGGGAAACCCUGAAGGAGCGACGCCGCGUGGAGGAUGAAGGUCUUCGGAUUGUAAACUCCUGUCAUUAGUGAACAAAGUUCGCGCUUUACUGGUUGCGAAUUUGCUAGUAACUGAAGAGGAAGAGGCGGCAAACUCUGUGCCAGCAGCCGCGGUAAUACAGAGGCCUCAAGCGUUGUUCGGAUUUAUUGGGCGUAAAGGGUGCGUAGGCGGUACCGAAAGUUAGGUGUGAAAGUUCGAGGCUCAACCUCGAAAUUGCACCUAAUACUCCGGUGCUUGAGUCUCAUAGAGGAAUCUGGAAUUCACGGUGUAGCAGUGAAAUGCGUAGAUAUCGUGAAGAAGGCCUGUGGCGAAAGCAAGAUUCUGGGUGACGACUGACGCUGAGGCACGAAAGCCAGGGGAGCAAACGGGAUUAGAUACCCCGGUAGUCCUGGCAGUAAACGGUGUGCGUUUGGUGUGGGCAGCUCGACACUGUCCGCGCCGAAGCUAACGCAUUAAACGCACCGCCUGGGUAGUACGAUCGCAAGAUUAAAACUCAAAGAAAUUGACGGGGGCCCGCACAAGCGGUGGAGUAUGUGGCUUAAUUCGAUCCACGCGAAGAACCUUACCUAGGCUUGCCAUGCAACUGAAUACAUGUGAAAGCGUGUCGUGUAGCAAUACACAGUUGCACAGGUGCUGCAUGGCUGUCGUCAGCUCGUGUCGUGAGAUGUUGGGUUAAGUCCCGCAACGAGCGCAACCCCUAUUGAUUGUUACCUGACCUAGUCAGGCUCUCUAUCAAAACUGCCUCGCAAAACGGGGAGGAAGGCGGGGAUGACGUCAAGUCAGCAUGGCCCUUACGCCUAGGGCUGCACACGUACUACAAUGCUCAGUACAAUUUGAGCCGGCUCUGCAAAGACUCGGAAAUCAUUAAAACUGAACUCAGUUCGGAUUGCGGGCUGCAACUCGCCCGCAUGAAGCUGGAAUCGCUAGUGAUGCCGUAUCAGCUACGACGGCGUGAAUACGUUCCCGGGCCUUGUACACACCGCCCGUCACAUCAUGGAAGUUGGUAGCUCCCGAAGCGUGGAUAUGAUUCUUCACCUCCGCGUUAAGGAACCACCGGUAACUGGGAUGAAGUCGUAACAAGGUAGCCGUAGGGGAACCUGCGGCUG